rnacentral:rRNA from 1 species
GAUGAACGCUGGCGGCGUGCCUAAUACAUGCAAGUCGAGCGAACCACUUCGGUGGUGAGCGGCGAACGGGUGAGUAACACGUAGGUGAUCUGCCCAUCAGACGGGGACAACGAUUGGAAACGAUCGCUAAUACCGGAUAGGACGAAAGUUUAAAGGUGCUUCUGGCACCGCUGAUGGAUGAGCCUGCGGCGCAUUAGCUAGUUGGUAGGGUAAAGGCCUACCAAGGCGACGAUGCGUAGCCGACCUGAGAGGGUGAACGGCCACACUGGGACUGAGACACGGCCCAGACUCCUACGGGAGGCAGAAGUAGGGAAUCUUCGGCAAUGGGCGAAAGCCUGACCGAGCAACGCCGCGUGAAUGAUGAAGGCCUUCGGGUUGUAAAAUUCUGUUAUAAGGGAAGAACGACUUUAGUAGGAAAUGGCUAGAGUGUGACGGUACCUUAUGGGAAAGCCACGGCUAACUACGUGCCAGCAGCCGCCGUAA